ensembl:snoRNA SNORD30 Small nucleolar RNA SNORD30
AACUAUGAUGAUUUUUGCAGUCUCGUUCGUCUGAAGUCCUGCUGAUAAAUUAAGUUUACUGAUGUUA